AGCUCGAUACAUUACAUCAUUAACCAGAAAGGUGGGAAUUCAGGAUGGAUGGACUUUCCGGGAAAAUGGGGUUCAAUUGUACCAUUUUCCAAGUUGAAAAUUCCCAUGUCUAGACCCCCUCCAUCUCGGUCACCCCAGAAAUUAUCCGGAUCAUCAUCCGUAAAGUAGAUGCAAUUGGGUUUCAAGGAUCCAUUAAACUUGUAUGCAGGCAAAGACGAAGAUGGAU
rnacentral:lncRNA from 1 species